UUUUUGCGUAAAGGAUAGUAGUGAAAAUCCUUUUUUUUUAUGAAGCGAUAGCGCAAUAAAGAGAAAGAUUGUAGCGAAUAGCCUGACCCCGC
rnacentral:sRNA from 1 species